UUAGAGGCCAUUUUGGCAGCUGCUGAGCAAAUUUCAUUUGAAAUAAAUACAGCACAAUGCAACCCCACUGACAUGGCAGAGGGAAUGUCCGAGCACAUGGACGCAGAAGAUGGAGGCAAUUUGUGUUGUGUCUGCCGCAUCCAUUUUGAUGACAAGAAGAAGAAUGCUACAAAGAAGUGGCGUUCAUGGUCUCAGUGCUCAGUGUGCCAAUCAUGGUCCCACACUGCCUGUGGUUUUAAAAGAACCAUGUGCCUUCAUUGCCAGGGUCAACACACCAUGCAAACACCCUUAUUUCUAGUAGUCUAUACCUAGGUCUGUUGCCACCGUUUUUGGCUGAUGUCAGUCCCCUUCCUGUUUCUUUGUG